GCCGGAGGGUGCAAUCGUUAUUCGGAAUCAUUGGGCGUAAAGAGCGUGUAGGCGGCCGGUCAAGUCAGAGGUGAAAGCCCAGGGCUUAACCCUGGAAGUGCCUUUGAAACUGGUCGGCUUGAGUUCGGGAGAGGAAAGCGGAAUUCCGGGUGUAGAGGUGAAAUUCGUAGAUAUCCGGAGGAACACCGGUGGCGAAGGCGGCUUUCUGGACCGAAACUGACGCUGAGACGCGAAAGCGUGGGGAGAAAACAGG
rnacentral:rRNA from 1 species